GUUUUUAUAGUUGAAUAACAACGGUGGUUUUUCAUAUCAUUGGCCCUGGUGUAGUAGUCCAGGUAAAAAUU
rnacentral:tRNA from 1 species